UCAAGAGUCUUUCUCUCCAUAUCCCCCGAGCAUUUCGGUCCCUCGUGAUUCGACUUCUCUUUCUGUAGUUUUAGUAUAGUAAGGUAAGCGCUGAAGCGCUGCACGAAUCUUUCUUAGAAAGAUUCAGCGACGAAGUUCUGCCCCUGCAGAGCCCGACUCCUAGCUAAAAUCCCCUUGAAAGUUUCGUCAAAGGAAAUUAUUUUAAAGUAAACGAAGCGCUGUCCGAGUACCGAGUCACCACCUUCUCAGGUGUUGAUAUGAAGUCACAAUACACUGAGAGAUUUAAAGAGAUGUAGAUCACUAGUGUAAAUAAUUGUAAGUUCUGUUUAUGCUUAUGUUUCUGUAUUAACGAUGACAUCCCAAACGUUUUAAAAUGAAAUAAAUACGUUUCAUCGAAAAUGUUUUAAUAACGUAUUUACCAUGUUUUUCUGGGAACAAAUUCCGCAACAUUUUUAUAAAAUGAAGUACUCUGAUUUUUAUAAAGCAUAAACAAAAUCGGUCUUUUCUGGCCGUGAAAAUG